rnacentral:rRNA from 1 species
GAUGAACGCUGGCGGCGUGCUUAACACAUGCAAGUCGAACGGAAAGGCCCAAGCUUGCUUGGGUACUCGAGUGGCGAACGGGUGAGUAACACGUGGGUGAUCUGCCCUGCACUUCGGGAUAAGCCUGGGAAACUGGGUCUAAUACCGGAUAGGACGAUGGUUUGGAUGCCAUUGUGGAAAGUUUUUUCGGUGUGGGAUGAGCUCGCGGCCUAUCAGCUUGUUGGUGGGGUAAUGGCCUACCAAGGCGUCGACGGGUAGCCGGCCUGAGAGGGUGUACGGCCACAUUGGGACUGAGAUACGGACCAGACUCCGACGGGAGGCAGCAGUGGGGAAUAUUGCACAAUGGGCGCAAGCCUGAUGCAGCGACGCCGCGUGGGGGAUGACGGCCUUCGGGUUGUAAACUCCUUUCGCUAGGGACGAAGCGUUUUUGUGACGGUACCUGGAGAAGAAGCACCGGCUAACUACGUG